GUCAUUAUAGUUUAACAAAAACAUUAUUUUUUCAAGAUAAAAAUCCUUUGAAGGUAAUGAUG
rnacentral:tRNA from 1 species